rnacentral:rRNA from 1 species
UUGAACGCUGGCGGCAUGCCUUACACAUGCAAGUCGCACGGCAGCGCGGACUUCGGUCUGGCGGCGAGUGGCGAACGGGUGAGUAAUACAUCGGAACGUACCCUGUUGUGGGGGAUAACUAGUCGAAAGAUUAGCUAAUACCGCAUACGACCUGAGGGUGAAAGUGGGGGACCGCAAGGCCUCACGCAGCAGGAGCGGCCGAUGUCUGAUUAGCUAGUUGGUGGGGUAAAGGCCCACCAAGGCGACGAUCAGUAGCUAGUCUGAGAGGACGAUCAGCCACACUGGGACUGAGACACGGCCCAGACUCCUACGGGAGGCAGCAGUGGGGAAUUUUGGACAAUGGGGGCAACCCUGAUCCAGCAAUGCCGCGUGUGUGAAGAAGGCCUUCGGGUUGUAAAGCACUUUUGUCCGGAAAGAAAUCGCGCUGGUUAAUACCUGGCGUGGAUGACGGUACCGGAAGAAUAAGCACCGGCUAACUACGUG